rnacentral:rRNA from 1 species
GAUGAACGCUGACAGAAUGCUUAACACAUGCAAGUCUACUUGAUUCUAAUUCGGUAGUUGAUGGUGGCGGACGGGUGAGUAACGCGUAAAGAAUCUGCCCUUUAGUUUGGGAUAACCUUUGGAAACGAAGGCUAAUACCGGAUAUUAUGGAGACGUCGCAUGGCGACUCCAUGAAAGCUAUAUGAGCUAGAGGAGGACUUUGCGUCCCAUUAGUUAGUUGGUGAGGUAAUGGCUAACCAAGACCGUGAGGGGUAGCCGGCCUGAGUGGGUGAUCGGCCACAAGUGAACUGAAACACGGUCCUUACUCCUACGAGAGUCAGCAGUGGGGUAUAUUGGACAAUGGUCAACAAGCCUGAUCCAGCAAUUCUGUGUGCACGAUGAAGGUCUUCGGAUUGUAAAGUGCUUUCCGUAGGGAAGAAAAAAAUUACGGUACCUACAGAAGAAGCGACGGCUAAAUAUGUGCCAGCAGCCGCAGUAAUAC